GUUUACAAAAUGCUAACAACCGCCUAACAAAGGGUGAGUCUCCAGGACAUUGAACUGUGAGCUCUCGCAUAGAGAAAGUCAGCAGGUCCAGGGUGCACCACCCAACGCCAAACAUCUGGUGAUUUGAAGACAUCUGGGGCUUUUCUAUCAUGUAGACCAAACAUGAUUCAGUUACAAAUCAUUAAAUCCAUCUACAAAGGACACCAGGAAGACGUGAGAUCAUUCAUUCCUAUGAUACGUGUCAGGCACUCAUUCCGUGCCCAUCACUGAGAGAUGACGGAGAGCCACCAUGAUGCCCCCUGGGAGCUCUGUCAAGACCACAUGCUCCAAAGGGCAUGUGAGAAAAGUCACGCUUCAUAUCCUGAAUGGCAACAUAUUGUCCAACAAAGGCAAAGCGUUUAUUUGGGAUUCUUAAUAAAAGUAUAAGCAACUUCAACUGUA